rnacentral:lncRNA from 1 species
UAGAGCCUCGGAGAAGGAGCAAAGGACCUCAGACCUGUCCACCUCAGAGGAAGCUUCCUGCCAGAGUUGUCAGCGGGACUCUGCAGAAGAGUAGGGAAUGAGGAAGGGGUGUGACUGGAAACUGCUGCCUCCCUCAAAGUCUCCUGGGUAAAUACAGAUCUGCCAGGCCUCUUCAGUCCUGGAAAUAUCUGAGGCUACUUGGCAAGUCUUUGGACUGCAGAGCAUGUCCUCCUCUAGGAAACUUCUCUCCACCUGCAAGAUCCACCUUCACAUCUCCACAGACAACCCCAUGCCUUCCCACAUCCCCUGCCUGAUCCAGGACUCUGAUAUACAACAAUUAGAUCUUGGUGCUCACUCACACACACACACACAACACAUGUGUGCUCACUCACAGGCACGCACCCACACCUGCCAUCAGGCCUGCCACCAGCUCUGAGAUGUGGCUUGGAAUCGAUCUCCAGGGAAGUAUGCUCGGGAGGGACCAGGAGCCUGUGAGCCCAGGCCUAGAGGCUGCAAGCACCUCCGCUCCUCACCACGGCCAUCCUUGCCCUGCACGGAUUAUGGACUUCUCACUGAGAGUUCAGAGCCUGGAAACUAGUUGGAAGGCAGAUCACCAACUCCUGAAGCCAGCUUGACUAUGUGGACACAUGAACCAGAAUGCCCAAGCCACGCCAAGAUUUCCAAAGCCAAAAUGUGUCUCUAUGAAUUUUGGUCCCAGUCCACUAGUAACAGAUGUUUCCAGAAACUGAGAGGGGGAAUAAGGUGAAAGGGUUCUUUAUAGUAUGUGCAGCUUCUGGGGUGGUAAGGGGACACCCUAGUGCUGAGCGCACCAACCUCUGCAUUUCCCAAACAGACCCUCCCUAAGGGAUGCUUGUGACCUUCCAGGGUGAUUGUGUGUGUGUGUGGGGGGGGGGUGUUGAUUCUGCUACAGGUUAUUCAGUGUUGGCUAGAUUAUUUAGUCUUCCUGUGUAGGUUUCUCUUAAAACACCAACUUUAAAACAGUUGUGAGAGUUGAGCCUGGGCAGCACACCUACUGCAGUGGAGAAGCUGAGGUUUAAGGAUCUCAAGUCCAAGGCCAUCCUAGGGCCACCAUAGACUACAUAAGGAGGCUCAGUGUUAACGCCCGUCCUUUGAAUUUUAGUUAAUAAAUAAAAAGGUUUUGAGAAAGUUGGAGAGAUGACUUAGCAGUUAAGAGUGCUUAU